GUACACGCUGUGACUAGCAUAUCAAUAAGCGGAGGAAAAGAAACUAACAAGGAUUCCCCUAGUAACGGCGAGUGAAGCGGGAAGAGCUCAAAUUUGAAAUCUUAAAGGGUUUCCCUUUACGAAUUGUAGUUUAAAGAAGUGUUUUCUGUUGAGGUUUUGGUAAUAAGUUCUUUGGAAUAGGACAUCAUAGAGGGUGAGAAUCCCGUAUUUGACCUUUACUUUCAACUUUGUGAUACACUUUCAAAGAGUCGGAUUGUUUGGGAAUGCAGUCCAAAAUGGGUGGUAAAUUUCAUCUAAAGCUAAAUAUUGGCGAGAGACCGAUAGCGAACAAGUACCGUGAGGGAAAGAUGAAAAGAACUUUGAAAAGAGAGUUAAACAGUACGUGAAAUUGUCAAAAGGGAAGCGUUUGACACCAGUGUUGUUUUUCUGAAAAUCAAUUAAAGAACUGUUUAUGCUAAGUUGUUUAGACUUUAUCAGCUAACUGUUUAGUUUUGAGCUUUUCUUUAAUGCACUUUUCAGUUAACAAGUCAACAUCAAUUUCUUUUGCUGUAAAAAGCUUGAGGAAGGUGGCUUGAGAUUCGUCUUAAGUGUUUAUAGCCUCUUGCCUAUGCAGUCGGAGAGAUUGAGGUCUGCAGCGUAGAUCCUUCGGGGCUAAAUGCAUUUGUGCUAAGUUAUAGCAUUUUAUAGACAACUUGUUGACUAUGAUUUGUCUUGUAGCUUACUCGCUUAUGUUAUUUUACCUACGCUUAGGAUGUUGAGUCGUAGAGCACGCAG
rnacentral:rRNA from 1 species